UGCUCCAUCAUUAUUCACACUCAUACCUCUGUGUGUGUUGUUUUAAAGCCCAGAGCUGUGGGGCGUACCAGGCUCAGCUGGACAUAACCCUGAAACUAAUCCAGAACCUGGACCUGAACCCAGCUGUGUUUCCUUAAAGAGCAACGUGUCGAAGGAUAUUCCUGAAAACUUUAACAAAAGUCUGUUAUGUGACAAAGAGAUCAAUAAGAGGCCAGAAUCUCCUGGACCUGAACCCAGCUGUGUGUCUCUAAAGAGCAACGAGUCGAAGGGUACUCCUGAAAACUUUAAAGGCUGUUCUUCUGCUGCUGAGAGGUAAUGUGUGUCUAGAUGUUGUUCCUGACUCUGUAUUUUUGAAUAAAUCCUCAUGUUUAA